rnacentral:lncRNA from 10 species
UUCAUUUAAGAAGCAUUGCAGUGGAUAUUACUAAUGGGGGCGCUAUUCUUUCUAAUGUAUGAAAAAGGAAAUUUUAAGUGUCAAAUAAUCUUUAAAAUGUGAUGUCAUAUAGCACGUUCUUUUUCCUUAAGAUUUAUGCAUGUUUAAAACUUAAAAGUACAAAUUAUGUUAAUUUCAGCUUUCAUUGAGAGGCCUUUUAUGAUUGUCUGAAUGUUAUAUUAGCAGUCCAGAAAUAUCCCAGUCAUAGCUUGGAUGGGGGUGAAGCAGAGGAAGUGGGUGGUGCUUCGUGAUGACAGAUUAUUGCAGAUUAUAUGGCUGCCUGCCAAAAUGACACUCGUUGAAGGGAAAAGUAGAAGUUACAAACUCCAUCCUAUUAAUUUGUACAUGUUUAUUUAACCACUUAUAACUGUUUGCUUGUUUUAUACAUAGAUGACAAGUUUUAAACUCCUGAAUUACUUAAAACGUGCUUAACCUUCUCUAGUUUAUUGUGGCUAUAUUCCUUAUCUCUGAUCUGCAAAGAUCACACUGACCCUUUUGUGGAAAGCCACGUGUUAGCAGAAAAAAGAUGGGGGAAGGAUGACAGAAUUUAAAACUACAGCUGCUUUGUUUUCCAGUUAAAAAUAGUUCUGAGUUAAAAACGUAAGGAUGUCCCAUCACAUGUGGACAAUUUAUAUAAAAUAUAGCAUACUAAUACAAAUAAUCAUGUCUUAUGAAAAAGUUUAUAGUUCUAGAUUGUUCUGGUUUAGCUUGAAAUUGAGAUUCUUACUGUUGCAACAUAAAAGGAAGCUUUGUGAAGGAAAUAUGACAUCUCUGCCCAGAUGCAUAAGGAGGGAAUUACAGUGGGGAGUUAUUUUUAGAAGUAUCUUAUGAAUACAUUUCAUGUACUGAGAACAUUUUUUAAAGGUUAGUUUCACUGGUAGGAGUUAUGCAAGUUGCUCGGGUCACUGGAUAUUCUAUUAAGAAAUCAUUUUUAUGUUACCAACCAACCUAGUUAGUCUUAAACUGGCUGAUCUAAGUAGUAGCUUGCUUGUUUAUUUAGAGACAGAGUCUCACCCUGUCACCCAGGUUGGUGUGCAGUGGCACAGUCAUAGCUCACUGCUGCCUUGAACUCCUGAGCUCAAGUGAUCCUCCUGCCUCAGCCUCCCCAGUAGCCGAGACUACAGGCAUGUGCCACCAUGCCUGGCUAAUUUUUUAAAGUUUCUUUUUUUUUGUAAAGAGGGAGUCUUGCUGUGUUGCCUAGGAAUUUGAGACCACCCUGGCCAACAUGGUGAAGCCCCGUCUCUACUGAAAAUACAAAAAUUAGCUGGGCGUGGUGGUGUAAGUCUGUAAUCCCAGUUACUCGGAAGGCUGAGACAUGAGAAUCACUUGAACCUGGGAGGCGGAGGUUGCGGUGAGCUGAGAUUGUGCCACUGCACUCCAACCUGAGCGACAGAGCCG